rnacentral:rRNA from 1 species
AGAGUUUGAUCAUGGCUCAGGACGAACGCUGGCGGCGCGCCUAACACAUGCAAGUCGAACGAGCGAGAGAGAGCUUGCUUUCUCGAGCGAGUGGCGAACGGGUGAGUAACGCGUGAGGAACCUGCCUCAAAGAGGGGGACAACAGUUGGAAACGACUGCUAAUACCGCAUAAGCCCACGGCUCGGCAUCGAGCAGAGGGAAAAGGAGCAAUCCGCUUUGAGAUGGCCUCGCGUCCGAUUAGCUAGUUGGUGAGGUAAUGGCCCACCAAGGCGACGAUCGGUAGCCGGACUGAGAGGUUGAACGGCCACAUUGGGACUGAGACACGGCCCAGACUCCUACGGGAGGCAGCAGUGGGGAAUAUUGCACAAUGGGGGAAACCCUGAUGCAGCGACGCCGCGUGGAGGAAGAAGGUCUUCGGAUUGUAAACUCCUGUUGUUGAGGAAGAUAAUGACGGUACUCAACAAGGAAGUGACGGCUAACUACGUGCCAGCAGCCGCGGUAAAACGUAGGUCACAAGCGUUGUCCGGAAUUACUGGGUGUAAAGGGAGCGCAGGCGGGAAGACAAGUUGGAAGUGAAAUCCAUGGGCUCAACCCAUGAACUGCUUUCAAAACUGUUUUUCUUGAGUAGUGCAGAGGUAGGCGGAAUUCCCGGUGUAGCGGUGGAAUGCGUAGAUAUCGGGAGGAACACCAGUGGCGAAGGCGGCCUACUGGGCACCAACUGACGCUGAGGCUCGAAAGUGUGGGUAGCAAACAGGAUUAGAUACCCUGGUAGUCCACACUGUAAACGAUGAUUACUAGGUGUUGGAGGAUUGACCCCUUCAGCGCCGCAGUUAACACAAUAAGUAAUCCACCUGGGGAGUACGACCGCAAGGUUGAAACUCAAAGGAAUUGACGGGGGCCCGCACAAGCAGUGGAGUAUGUGGUUUAAUUCGACGCAACGCGAAGAACCUUACCAAGUCUUGACAUCCUGCGACGCACAUAGAAAUAUGUGUUUCCUUCGGGACGCAGAGACAGGUGGUGCAUGGUUGUCGUCAGCUCGUGUCGUGAGAUGUUGGGUUAAGUCCCGCAACGAGCGCAACCCUUAUGGUCAGUUACUACGCAAGAGGACUCUGGCCAGACUGCCGUUGACAAAACGGAGGAAGGUGGGGAUGACGUCAAAUCAUCAUGCCCUUUAUGACUUGGGCUACACACGUACUACAAUAGCGUUAAACAAAGAGAAGCAAGACCGCGAGGUGGAGCAAAACUCAGAAACAACGUCCCAGUUCGGACUGCAGGCUGCAACUCGCCUGCACGAAGUCGGAAUUGCUAGUAAUCGCAGAUCAGCAUGCUGCGGUGACUACGUUCCCGGGCCUUGUACAC